GGUAUCCUUAGCAAAGUAAUAUGGUUGAAAACCAUACGGAAGCCACUCUGUCUGAACCA
rnacentral:tRNA from 1 species